rnacentral:lncRNA from 10 species
CCAGAUAAUAAGACGGUGCCCUGCAGAUGUUUGCUGACGAUGAAGUGGAAGUAAACCCACAAGUGGAGGGGGCUCUGUAUGCAUCCAGGAGUUCAUGUCUGGGAUAAGUGAACGCUGGUAUCUGGCCCUGUGCUCCUCGUCACUGGCUGUGACAUCCCCCUAAACCAACUCCAGGACAAAGCUGGACGUGCCUGGUGUGGUUUUCAGAACCCACUUUCUGUAGUAAGAGCAUGUGUGAUGUUGCCACCAGCACUCACCUGAAAAUAUGGAGAGAACUAGGGUCCAGACACACUAAUUUUCAGAUACUUCUGACAUUUAACAUAUGUUUGUAUCUUUCUAUUACUCCGUGCUUGUCUAAAUUUCCAUUUGCUUGUAAUACAUUUUAUGUGGCUUAAUUGAAAGAUAAUAAACUUCACAUAUUUAAAAUGUACAAUUAAUAAACGUGAUGUAACUGUCGUCAUUAUCAAGAAAGUGGACAAGUGAAUUCUUCUCAACACUUCCUCUUAUUCUGCUGUAUUCCUCCUCCUCUCCCCUUCCCUUCUACCAUUUCCCC